GGCAAGAUGGCCGAGCGGUCUAAGGCGCUAGCUUCAGGUGCUAGUCUUGAAAGAGGCGUGGGUUCGAAUCCCACUCUUGUCA
rnacentral:tRNA from 1 species